AAAAGUUUUAUUCUUGCUUAAGAAUUCACUAUAACAUUGUUGUAUAUGUAAAUUUUUGUGUGUUACGAUUUUAAAGGGAUAUCUUGAUGGUAGUUUAAUUUUAAAUAUUAUCGCAGUAUGAAAUAUUAUAAAUUUAGGUGAUUUUGAUUUAGUAAAUGUUAUUUAGUAUUGAUUAAAUAUGUGCCAGCAGUCGCGGUUAUACAUUAAAUAUAAGUGAAUGUUUUUGGUUAAAUUAGUUAUUUGUAUAUUUUGAGUUUGAAUUGAUCAUUAUGGGGUGAAAUAAUAAAUGUUUGUUUUGGAUUUAAUGUUAUUUAAGAGUCAAUAAAUGAAGCUGGGAAAUCUGAAAUAUUUAAACUAGGAUUAGAUACCCUAUUAUUUUAGAUGUAAAUUAUGUAAACUUGAGUAGUAUUAGUUAAGAUCUUGAAACUUAAAGAAUUUGGCGGUAUUUUAGUCUAUUUAGAGGAAUCUGUCCCGUGAUCGAUAGUCCACGUUGGACCUUACUUGAUUUGUUAAUAUGUAUACCGCCGUUGUUGAAAAUCUUUUUAGGGUAUAUAAUUUUUUUAAUAUUUAUUAAAUAAUUUUUCAGGUCAAGGUGCAGUUUAUAAUUAAGUGGAGAUGGAUUACAAUAUUUUAAGGUAUAUGGAUUUUUGUUUUUAAUUUAGCGAUAUGAAGGUGGAUUUAAUAGUAAUGUUAUGAAGACUGUUAAUGUGAUUAUAGCUCUAGAAUAUGUACACAUCGCCCGUCGCUCUCGUUAUUUUAAGGUGAGAUAAGUCGUAACAUAGUAGUUGUACCGGAAGGUGUAAUUAGAAUAAUUA
rnacentral:ncRNA from 1 species